AAUAACAAGCUUGCUACUUGCUACGACUAAAGGCAAACGAUGCUUAGCACAUCCAUGAAGCUCAAGAUAUGAUUACAUAUUUCUGGUGAUUUGUGAAGGACUGAACUUCGUUUGUAAUUCAAAUUCAAAAUAAAGAUGAAAUUACCUUUUCUCCCAUAAGUUUGCGAAGUUCUUGAUCGUUUCCAGAAGGGCUGUUAGAAAACUUUUCCGAUCAAGUUUUGAACAUUUGAGUUACCAGGGCAUGAGGUUGUGAAUUACACUGAAUCUAUUGUCUAAAUUGUAUUUGUAUCAUUCAGUAUCACUUUGCAUUAUUAGUCACUUGUAGAACAGUUAAGAUAGUUCAAUAUCUUGCUGAAUCAGUGUUACUUCAGUGUCUUGACAUUACAAUGUGAAAUGAUAAAGUGAAGUAGUAAAAACCUUUUGAUCAAAUAACUUUAUUAUAAGUGGGCACAUCGACUCAAAUGCCGAUUAGUCCUUCACUUUAUGACAUGGUAAAAUAGUUGAAUUGCACAUUCAUAUCUUCUAACAGCAAAGUAUCCAGGUAAGUGGGUAUAUUAUCUUUGUCGCACAACAGUCCAAACAUUUAAUGAUGCUUCAGGUUUGAACACUUUUUCCCUUUAAACCUUCAUUGGGUAAAGAUCAAAGGCAUUAAGUGUCAAAAUAUACAAAAUUCAUAUAAUUCUAAACAAUUUUUCUAGUUUUAUUGUAAUAGAUUUACUCUUGGCUUCGUCCCAAUUUACUAUUAAAUAAGGAAAAUCUUAUAGUAUUUUUUAUUUGGUGUUUAAUUUUUGUCUAAUUUGUUUUUUAUAAUAAAUUUUAAAUUUUUAAAUUAAAUAUUAGGGUAAAAAACUCAAAUAAACCAAGCUGAGAAGUUUAUUACCCAAAUCAGCCAAAACAAAAAUUUUUUUAGCAAUCCACCAAUGACCAUUUAAAUAUAAUUCGAAUCAUAUUGAUUCGAACUACAAAUGCAUGUAAUUCGAAACAACUUGCUUCGAAUUACGUUUGAAUGGAUAUGCAUGUAAUUCGAAUCAAGUAGAUUCGAAUUAGAGAAGGCUAAAUCGAAUUGACUCGAUUCGAAUUAGUAGGCUCACGUGACUUUAUGGAGUUCGAAUCAACAUGAGAUUCAAAUAACAAGCUUGCUACUUGCUACGACUCAAGGCAAACGAUGCUUAGCACAUCCAUGAAGCUCAAGAUAUGAUUACAUAUUUCUGGUGAUUUGUGAAGGACUGAACUUCGUUUGUAAUUCAAAUUCAAAAUAAAGAUGAAAUUACCUUUUCUCCCGUAAGUUUGCGAAGUUCUUGAUCGUUUCCAGAAGGGCUGUUAGAAAACUUUUCCGAUCAAGUUUUGAACAUUUGAGUUACCAGGG
rnacentral:lncRNA from 1 species